rnacentral:pre_miRNA from 1 species
GUUGAGAGGAAUGUUGUCUGGCUCGAGGUCAUUGAGGUGUAUAUGUGUAUAUAUAAUGAUAUAUAUAUCAAGUGUUUCAGUUUUCAGGGUAAAUUAAUGGAAAUUAAUCUAUACCCUAAAUGAUUCUCGGACCAGGCUUCAUUCCCCCCAGC